AGUGAACGCUGGCGGUAGGCCUAACACAUGCAAGUCGAACGGCAGCACAGUAAGAGCUUGCUCUUACGGGUGGCGAGUGGCGGACGGGUGAGGAAUACAUCGGAAUCUACUUUUUCGUGGGGGAUAACGUAGGGAAACUUACGCUAAUACCGCAUACGACCUACGGGUGAAAGCAGGGGAUCUUCGGACCUUGCGCGAUUGUAUGAGCCGAUGUCGGAUUAGCUAGUUGGCGGGGUAAAGGCACACCAAGGCGACGAUCCGUAGCUGGUCUGAGAGGAUGAUCAGCCACACUGGAACUGAGACACGGUCCAGACUCCUACGGGAGGCAGCAGUGGGGAAUAUUGGACAAUGGGCGCAAGCCUGAUCCAGCCAUACCGCGUGGGUGAAGAAGGCCUUCGGGUUGUAAAGCCCUUUUGUUGGGAAAGAAAAGCAGCAGGUUAAUACCCCGCUGUUCUGACGGUACCCAAAGAAUAAGCACCGGCUAACUUCGUG
rnacentral:rRNA from 1 species